rnacentral:tRNA from 1 species
GGAGAGGUGGGUGAGUGGCUUAAACCAGCGGAUUGCUAAUUCGUCGUGCGGGUAAUACCGUACCGAGGGUUCGAAUCCCUCCCUCUCCG